UGGUGGGGUGACUUGUCUGCUUAAUUGCGAUAACGAACGAGACCUUAACCUGCUAAAUAGCCCGCAUUGCUUCCGGCAGUGCGCUGGCUUCUUAGAGGGACUUUCGGCUCAAGCCGAAGGAAGUUUGAGGCAAUAACA
rnacentral:rRNA from 1 species